rnacentral:lncRNA from 1 species
ACAGUAAAGUAAAUAACACACGAGAGUUGUUAACCCAGUUCAGCCUAAAGCCUACUCUGGGGGAUACCAAUCCAGGAAUGAAGUCCACUAUCAGCAGUAUUACUUCGAAGUUAAACUCACCCAUUUACAACUUCUCACUUAAUCACUACCCAAUGACACUUCUACCUAGGAACUCCUAGAUAUGAGACCCCGUCCCAAUUCCCACCUUAGCAACACAGACAGCGCUGCUAUUCAAUUCCACAAAACACAACAGGUGGAGACACACUCCUAAGAAACUAGGAUUCACUCUUGCUUAAAAGCUUGCGAGUAAACCACACAACACGAUAGAACAAUCUCCGUACUUCAAAGCUUAGGAGAAGUUCACACUUACAACUCAAUAACACUCAGG